rnacentral:lncRNA from 1 species
CCAAGCCUGCGACAGGCCCCCCCUUCCCUCCCCACCGCCCCCCCCCCCCAGGCCCAGGGGGCUCAGUUCUUUUUCCUUUCGCCCCUCCCCCACCACAACCUCCAACCCUAGGCCUGCCCUUCCCAGCCCCGGCUCCAAGGGCUCCUCCCUUCCAUCCUGUCUCCCACUUCCAGGCCCCCGGUGCCCGCUCAACGCCCGACCUCAACGCCCGACCCCAACGUCCGGCGCCCAACGUCCGGCGCCCAACGACCGAAGCCCCGCAGCCCUCACGCAGCCCCUUCCACUCCCCGCGCCCCACGCGCCUAGGAACCCUGACCUGGUACGAGGCAGGAGGGCCGCUGACCCCGCGCCGCCUCUGCAGCCCGGCCGUGGUGGCGCCCGCCCCGGGCCCUGCAGCCUCGCCGGCCGGAGGCGCUCCCCGCGCUCACCUCGCCUCCACGGGCCAGCCCCGCGCCAGCGCCGCGCCUGCGCAGUCCGCGCCCACGUGCGCCCUGCGAUGCCCUCGCGCGCCCUCCGCGCGCUGCGGCCUCCGCGCUGUGCCCCAGGGCUGCGCGCUCCGAGUUCCUCCGCCCAGAGAACGGGGCGCAGAGCUCCCGGGGCUGCUCCCAGGGAGCAAGAUGGUGUCCCUCGUGUCAAGUAGUGACAUAAUCAGAAAAGCAACUAUGACCAGAUAUCACCAAAACUAGUAUAGACUGGGAGUACUAAGGACUAAUAACCCAUAAGGCCUGGAAGAACUAGGAGCUGAUUAAUCACUAGAACCAAAAGAGGCCUGCAAAGCUCAAGACUGAUUAAACUGUAAAAAGGAAAAAAAAGUAAUAAAUACAUAAAUACAUAAGUAAAUAAACUGUAAAAAGGGAGGAUUUCUGCAGCAAACUGCCAGACUCUCUGAGUGCUGACCCUUCCUCAUCUGACCACAUCAAAAGGCAACUGCUGCUGAAGACUGCCUGAUUGAUCUCCCAACAUAAUAAAGCUCCUCCACUUUUUAAACAUUAAGCAGUAAGUGCCUAGAGCUGGCCCACACCUGACCAAGUCCUCAUCUUAACUGUGCUCACAGACUGACUUGCUUUGUUUCAUUAACUUCUUACCCUUAUUGUAUCUUGUUUGUUGCAUAACUUUGUAUUGUACUUUGUGUGAUGUAUAUGAAGCCAAGUUAAAUACAUAGUGAAAUGUCAUUGAGUUUAGAAUCCUGAACCUGCUUGCUAUUGUACUAACCGUAUUUUAUGAUUGAAUAAAGCUGACAUUGUGGAAAGACACAACUUUUACACACACCUUUAUUUUUUUAAUUAAUUAAUUUAUUUUUUAUUUUUUAUUUUUUUUUACACACACCUUUAAAACAUGCUCAAGACACCACCACCUGACUGGUGUUCUUCAGUUUCUAAAGUUAGUUGCGUUUUCCCUCCCUUUGCCUAUUAUAUACUUUGGUAGGAAGUCAUUAAACACAGUUUACACCUAAGAAAGAAGUUAUGCUCCCCCUCUUUGAGGGCUGGAUAUUGGAAUUAUUUCAUAUUUGUUUGCAUGGGAGAUUUGUCUCUUCUCCGUUAUAUAUAUGACCAUAUAUACUGUAAAUAUAUUAGUAUGAACUGGUGUUUAUUUUAUGCUUUGGGUUGUAAUCCAACACUACCUUAUUUCCUUGCUCAAAUUUUUCCAACUUUGGCCAUUGGGAGCUCUUUUAGUUGGCUCUUGUUAUCCUUUGACAUAUUCCCAUCAAUGUGGGGUUAUUUUUAUUUAUUUGGGUUUUUUUAAUCACUUUUACUUUUUGGGACAUUGUAUCUUUAUACAUAUGUAUCUUUCAAAGAUCAUAACUUUAAAAAACAUCAUCAAAACUUAUUCCACCUUUAACAAUUUCUUAAUAUCAUUAAUAUUUAAAAUUUCCAGAGUCUCAGAUGAUUUUUAAUAAUUGGUAUGCUCAAGUCAGGCUCCAAGCAAGAUCCUAUUUUGUAUUCAGUGAUGUAUUUUAAAAAGAGAUUUCCUUUUAAUCCCUUUCUUACAAUUUAUAUGUUGAAGUAAUGGCAGUUUUUCUUAAAUUUUGAGCAUAUCCCCUGUGGCAAGAAUACUUCACAGGUGGUAUUGUGUUCCUCUAGUGCAUCACAUCAGAAGAUACUUAAUAUCUCAUUGUUUCUCUUCGGGGAAUUAUUAAAAUUCAUAUAACAGGUUCCAGUGUUGUCAGCCCCAUCGAUCCAUUAUAAAGUUUUCCACUGGCUUUUUGUCUAAUGAUUCUAGACUCUCUGAUGAUCCAUUUUUUUUUAAUCAAAAUGAUGCAUUUAUUCAGGGCAAAUCUUAAUUUUCUUCGUCUUCUUCAGAACAAAGAACUGCAAGAAUGCCUAGAAGACUUGAAGUAAUGCUGAUUUACCGUCACCUUUAUUGAAACUUGAUUCCUUGAGCCAGAGGAAGGUCCUUACUGUAGUUGAUAGUACAAGUGGAUCUCUUCAUGUACUGUUUCCAGGCAUCACUCCCGGACUCCCGACCACCACCAGUGUGCUUUUCUCCUCCAAAUGCACCUCCAAUCUCAGCCCCACUCCUUGGGAUAUUGACAUUUACAAUGCCACAGUCGGAUCCUUUCGAUCCUAGAUCCAUUACUUCAAAGGGGUUGCAAAUUCCUGGUAGUCUAUUUUCUGCAUUUAUUAUCUGGAAUUCUUUAAAUAACCUUUCCACAUUGACUUUCCGAGUGAGAUUCAGUUUGUAACAGAAAGUUAUGAUGCUUGAUUCUUUUACUUUUCAGACUGUGAUGAUUCUUUUUUUUAAUUUUUCUUUAUUAUUUAUGUCACACACACAGAGAGAGAGAGAGAGAGAGAGAGAGAGGCAGAGACACAGGCAGAGGGAGAAGCAGGCUCCAUGUAAGGAGCCUGAUGUGGGACUUGAUUCCAGGACUCCAGGAUCAUGCCCUGGGCCAAAGGCUGGCGCCAAACCGCUGAGCCACCCAGGGAAUCCCAAUACACCUUAAUUUUUGACAUAGUAGAGGAGUCUCAAUUGCUAUUAGUUUUUUAAUGCUAUAUUGUCUUUUGGCCGGUGGGCACACUUUUGAAUUGGCUCCUGAGUCUUUGACACAACUAUUAUUUUUCUUCUUUGCUUUCUGAUAAAACCAACAUGUCUUAGAUUUUCUUGCACCUUUCCUGCCCCAGACUAAGAAUCUGCCCUUGAUUUUACAAGGGGAGUCCAAGUGACUUUUUGUGGGAAAAUAUACUUAGAAAUGAUGGAGAAAAAAAAGGGUGUGCAUUAUGUUGAAUGAUAUUCCAGGCCUUUUCAGUGGACAGACUUCUAAUUUUAAAAAACGUAUAGGACGCCUGAGUGGCUCAGCAUUUGAGCACCUGCCUUGGGCCCAGGGUAUGAUCCUGGAUACCCAGGUUUGAGUCCCACAUGGGGCUGCCUGCAUGGAGCCUGCUUCUCCCUCUGCCUGUGUCUCUGCCUUUCUCUCUCUCUCUCUCUCUCUCUCUGUCUCUUGUGAAUAAAUAAAUAAAAUCUUUAAAAAGAAAAAAAAGGACCAUGAGUUCAUACUGAUAUUUCUAAAUUCAGAUUUAGGAUUUCAGAAUUUUUACUUA